AAUAGAUACCCUGGUAGUCCUAGCCGUAAACGAUGAACACUAGGCGUAGUCGGUAUCGACCCCGGCUGUGCCGUAGCUAACGCAUUAAGUGUUCCGCCUGGGGAGUACGGCCGCAAGGCUAAAACUCAAAGGAAUUGACGGAGGCCCGCACAAGCAGCGGAGCGUGUGGUUUAAUUCGUCGCAACGCGAAGAACCUUACCAGGGCUUGACAUGUGGCGGAAAACGGCGGAAACGUCGUCCUCCCGCAAGGGACCGUCAUGCAGGUGUUGCAUGGCUGUCGUCAGCUCGUGUCGUGAGAUGUUGGGUUAAGUCCCGCAACGAGCGCAACCCCCGUGGCAUGUUGUAUCUCUCAUGCCAGACUGCCGAGAGAAACUCGGAGGAAGGUGGGGAUGACGCCAAGUCAGCAUGGCCCUUACGUCCUGGGCUACACACACGCUACAAUGGCCGGUACAACGGGUUGCCAAACCGCGAGGUGGAGCUAAUCCCUUAAAGCCGGUCUCAGUUCGGAUUGCAGGCUGCAACUCG
rnacentral:rRNA from 1 species